GAUGAACGCUGGCGGCGUGCCUAAUACAUGCAAGUCGAGCGAACGGACGAGAAGCUUGUUUCUCUGAUGUUAGCGGCGGACGGGUGAGUAACACGUGGAUAACCUACCUAUAAGACUGGGAUAACUUCGGGAAACCGUAGCUAAUACCGGAUAAUAUUUUGAACCGCAUGGUUCAAAAUUGAAAGACGGUCUUGCUGUCCCUUAUAGAUGGAUCCGCGCUGCAUUAGCUAGUUGGUAAGGUAACGGCUUACCAAGGCAACGAAGCAUAGCCGACCUGAGAGGGGGAUCGGCCACCCUGGAACUGGGAAACGGUCCAGACUCCUACGGGGGGCAGCAGUAGGGAAUCUUCCGCAAUGGGCGAAAGCCUGACGGAGCAACGCCGCGGGAGGGAUGAAGGUCUUCGGAUCGUAAAACUCUGUUAUUAGGGAAGAACAUAUGUGGAAGUAACUGUGCACAACUUGACGGUACCUAAUCAGAAAGCCACGGCUAACUACGUG
rnacentral:rRNA from 1 species